GUCAAAAUCAACUUUUGCCCAAUCGAUGCCAUCUUGAAUAUAUUCCUCCUGCUCUAGCUUAAAUAAAUGACGAUUGAAAUGCUGCUGUAGUCUCUCGUUCGCAUAGUUAAUACAGAACUGUUCAAAACUAUUUCUAUCAAACGAUUCAAAGCCAUAAAUAUCAAGAAUGCUGAUGGAUCUGCCAGUGCGUCGUUUGCCUACAGAAAG
rnacentral:misc_RNA from 1 species